GAUGAACGCUGGCGGCGUGCCUAAUACAUGCAAGUCGAACGCGCAGCGAAAGGUGCUUGCACCUUUCAAGCGAGUGGCGAACGGGUGAGUAACACGUGGAUAACCUGCCUCAAGGCUGGGGAUAACAUUUGGAAACAGAUGCUAAUACCGAAUAAAACUUAGUAUCGCAUGAUACAAAGUUGAAAGGCGCUACGGCGUCACCUAGAGAUGGGUCCGCGGUGCAUUAGUUAGUUGGUGGGGUAAAGGCCUACCAAGACAAUGAUGCAUAGCCGAGUUGAGAGACUGAUCGGCCACAUUGGGACUGAGACACGGCCCAAACUCCUACGGGAGGCUGCAGUAGGGAAUCUUCCACAAUGGGCGAAAGCCUGAUGGAGCAACGCCGCGUGUGUGAUGAAGGCUUUAGGGUCGUAAAGCACUGUUGUAUGGGAAGAAAUGCUAGAAUAGGGAAUGAUUCUAGUUCGACGGUACCAUACCAGAAAGGGACGGCUAAAUACGUGCCAGCAGCCGCCGUAA
rnacentral:rRNA from 1 species